UAAAUGUGUAUUUAGCCACUUGGAGU
rnacentral:piRNA from 1 species